UAAAGGCUUUGGUUGGUGGUUUAACAUGGGUUUAUGUUAUAUUCCAUCUCUUGCACACUGGACUCCAGUGCUGCUGCUGGCUGGUGUGCAGGGGGUGGAAUACAUCAUUGAAUCAUGAUAUUUGAGUUUUCUCCCAAGUUUUCCGAAGAAGGUGGAGGUUGGGUGCGUUUGCUCUAUAUCAGUUUUUCAAAAGUUCAUGUUUGAGAAGCCAUCAGGAACCUGUAAGAAAGAUCCAUAGUACUUCAGGAUUUUGUGGCAAGAAUCCUACUAAGAAGGACUAGCAAUGAGCAUUUCAGAGCUAAAAUUUUUUAGAGUAACAGGAUUGAGAAAGCUUCAAUGGAAUGCUCAAGCCACAUUGCAUUUACUGACAUGUUUAUGAUUUGUUCCUCUUAUCCAUUCUUCUCCUUUUCCCAUUGGCUGAUACUAGGAUUUGAAGGUCAACAUGGAUACUUCACACAUCCAAACUCAUAAAUUGAAAAGGUUGCAUACUGAUCUGCACCCUUUUUAGGAGAUUAUGACCAUAGAAGGCAUCGAGCGUCUCAAUAGGUGAAGGGCAUGUUUGGCUACUUUGUUUUCUUCAAAAUACUGUAAACUAUAAUAUAGAGAGCAAAUAACAAGUCUCUAACCAUUCCAGGGCAUCAUUUAUUCAGAAUUCCAUGUGUUAUCUACAAAUCCAGGUUUUUUCUUAUUAAAAUUAUAGAUUACAGCAAAUGUCUAUUUCAAUAGAAACAUUAGCUUUUAUGGAAUGUAAGAUCUAAGGAUGACAUUAUCAAUUGAA